CCUACGGGUGGCAGCAGUGGGGGAUAUUGCACAAUGGGGGAAACCCUGAUGCAGCGACGCCGCGUGGGUGAAGAAGCGCCUCGGCGCGUAAGGCCCUGUCAGCGGGGAGGAAAAUGACGUUACCUGAAGAAGAAGCCCCGGCUAACUACGUGCAAACAGCCGCGGUAAUACGGAGGGGGCAAGCGGUAUCCGGAUUUACUGGGGGUAAAGGGGGCGCAGACGGCGAUGCAAGCCAGGAGUGAAAGCCCGGGGCCCAACCCCGGGACUGCUCUUGGAACUGCGUGGCUAGAGUGCAGGAGGGGCAGGCGGAAUUCCUGGUGUAGCGGUGAAAUGCGUAGAUAUCAGGAGGAACACCGGUGGCGAAGGCGGCCUGCUGGACUGCAACUGACGUUGAGGCCCGAAAGCGUGGGGAGCAAACAGGAUUAGAUACCCGAGUAGUC
rnacentral:rRNA from 1 species